UCUGUAUGGCUCAGGACGAUAC
rnacentral:miRNA from 2 species